rnacentral:rRNA from 1 species
UAACAAGAGUUUGAUCCUGGCUCAGGAUGAACGCUGGCGGCGUGCCUAACACAUGCAAGUCGAGCGAGAAGCUAUAAAAGGACACUUCGGUAGAAUUAUAUGGCGGAAAGCGGCGGACGGGUGAGUAACGCGUGGGAAACCUGCCUUUCACAGAGGGAUAGCCGAAGGAAACUACGAUUAAUACCUCAUAAAGCAAAAGCUUCGCAUGGAGCGAUUGCCAAAGAAUAAUCGGUGAAAGAUGGUCCCGCGUCUGAUUAGUUAGUUGGUAAGGUAGCGGCUUACCAAGGCGACGAUCAGUAGCCGGCCUGAGAGGGUGAACGGCCACAUUGGAACUGAGACACGGUCCAGACUCCUACGGGAGGCAGCAGUGGGGGAUAUUGCACAAUGGGCGAAAGCCUGAUGCAGCAACGCCGCGUGAAGGAAGAAGGCUUUCGAGUCGUAAACUUCUGUCCAAAGGGAAGAAAAGAUGACGGUACCUUUGAAGAAAGCCCCGGCUAACUACGUGCCAGCAGCCGCGGUAAUACGUAGGGGGCGAGCGUUAUCCGGAAUUACUGGGCGUAAAGAGUAUGUAGGUAGUUUAGCAAGCGUAGGGUUUAAGGCGACAGCCCAACUGUCGUAUGCCCCGCGAACUGUUAAACUUGAGUACAGGAGGGGAAGGCGGAAUUCCUAGUGUAGCGGUGAAAUGCGUAGAUAUUAGGAGGAACACCGGUGGCGAAGGCGGCCUUCUGGACUGUAACUGACACUGAGAUACGAAAGCGUGGGUAGCAAACAGGAUUAGAUACCCUGGUAGUCCACGCCGUAAACGAUGAGCACUAGGUGUCGGGCUCGAAUGAGUUCGGUGCCGCAGCAAACGCAAUAAGUGCUCCGCCUGGGGAGUACGCACGCAAGUGUGAAACUCAAAGGAAUUGACGGGGACCCGCACAAGCAGCGGAGCAUGUGGUUUAAUUCGAAGCAACGCGAAGAACCUUACCAGGGCUUGACAUCCCACUGAAGUAACGGGUAAUGCCGUUAUGAUCUUCGGAACAGUGGAGACAGGUGGUGCAUGGUUGUCGUCAGCUCGUGUCGUGAGAUGUUGGGUUAAGUCCCGCAACGAGCGCAACCCUUGCCGUUAGUUGCCAUCAUUAAGUUGGGCACUCUAAUGGGACUGCCGGGGAGAACCCGGAGGAAGGCGGGGAUGACGUCAAAUCAUCAUGCCCCUUAUGUCCUGGGCUACACACGUGCUACAAUGGCCGUCACAGAGGGAAGCGAAAGAGCGAUCUUAAGCCAAACCAAAAAGGCGGUCCCAGUUCGGACUGCAGGCUGCAACUCGCCUGCACGAAGCCGGAGUUGCUAGUAAUCGCGAAUCAGAAUGUCGCGGUGAAUGCGUUCCCGGGUCUUGUACACACCGCCCGUCACACCAUGGAAGUUGGGGGUGCCCGAAGUCGGUCAAUAAAGGUCGCCUAAGGCAAAACCAAUGACUGGGGUGAAGUCGUAACAAGGUAGCCGUAUCGGAAGGUGCGGCUGGAUCACCUCCUUUCUAGGGAGA